rnacentral:sRNA from 1 species
GACCUAACCUCAUUGCUUCGGCAGUGAGCACGGUCCAAAGUCGAGUAAAGCGUAAAAAGGCCCAACGGGCUCGCUUUACUCGCCAUAUCGGGAAACCGGUAUGAGAGGCUUCGGUCUCU